AGGGGUGUAACUCAGUGGUAGAGCAUGUGCUUAGCAUGCAUGAGGUCCUGGGAUCAAUCCCCAGUACCUCUG
rnacentral:tRNA from 1 species